AUCCUUCCUUGAACUUUUGGUUAAGAUAAAGUGUAGUAUCUGGUCUUAUCCAUGUAAUAUCUGAUAUACCCUGUAUCCAAGGACAAUAUACUUCAGGAGAUAGGAAUGCUUACCCUGAUUUAAACAUUAUACAAUGUUUUCAUGUCUUGAAGUGCAC
rnacentral:snRNA from 1 species